UACGUAGGGUGCAAGCGUUGUCCGGAAUCAUUGGGCGUAAAGCGCGCGUAGGUGGCUUUGUAAGUCCGUUGUGAAAGUCAAAGGCUCAACCUUUGAAUGCCGAUGGAUACUGCAGAGCUAGAGUACGGAAGAGGCGAGUGGAAUUCCUGGUGUAGCGGUGGAAUGCGCAGAUAUCAGGAGGAACACCAAUAGCGAAGGCAGCUCGCUGGGACGUUACUGACACUAAGGCGCGAAAGCGUGGGGAGCGAACAGG
rnacentral:rRNA from 1 species